rnacentral:snRNA from 1 species
GGAUGUGAGGGCGAUCUGGCUGCGACAUCUGUCACCCCAUUGAUCGCCAGGGUUGAUUCGGCUGAUCUGGCUGGCUAGGCAGGUGUCCCCUUCCUCCCUCACUGCUCCAUGUGCGUCCCUCCCAAAGCUGCGCGCUCAAUCAAAGAGGACUACCAUCCCCGAUAGAGGAGGACUGGUCUUCAGUCAAGGGUAUACGAGUAGCUGCACUCCCCUGCUAGAACCUCCAAACAAGCUAUAUACCAAAAGGUUUUGUCUUUAUCAACAAUUAUCCUAUCCCACAGCAAUUUCUACAUAGAAUGUGCCUCUCAUG